GGGGAUGAAAGGAUUUCGACGGGGAUUUUGAACCUUAAUUAGCGAGCAGAGGUGCGCAGACUCUUAAAAAAGCGUAAAAUUAAAUUAACUGACAAUAACGAAGUUAGACUUGCUGCUUAAUUAGCAGCCAUCCCUACCGGGAGGACCGCGAACCGGAUAGGGGUGUAAUUUAGCGGUGAACGCGAACGGGUGAGCGCCUUGUAACUCGUCGUGAAUUAAAGGCUACCGUAGCAUAAAGCCUGCCGUUUGGCGUUAUGU
rnacentral:tmRNA from 1 species